GGGGACGCCAGGUUUUGACGGAUUUCCUAAAACAUGAAUAGCGAGUAGUGGAUGGUCGCUUUGGCCACUAUAAAAAAGCGAAAUUAAAUUAAACGCUGAUAAUAGAUUAGCAAUGGCUGCCUAAGUUUUGGCGCCGUGUUUAUAUAAUUUUUGCCGUAGGGAUUAUAUAAGCAUCGAAUUAUACGGCUAACAAAGUUGUUUUCGCUAAUUGAACAAUGGGUAUAAUAUAUUAGCUACUAAUAACAAGUUUUGUAAUUGUUAUGAGUUAUUAGGAAAAUUUAAAUAAUUACUGCACUCGGAGAAGUUCAUGUAUAUAUGGAUUUUCGGACAUGAGUUCGAUUCUCAUCGUCUCCACCA
rnacentral:tmRNA from 1 species